UCCAAUACUAAUUUUCGUCGGGAAAUGUCGCUACAUCUCACAUUGCGAGCGUUUAGCUCAGAAACAACGAUCGCAGUCAGAGAUGUGAUAAUAUUACCCGAUCAACGACAACUCUUCCAU
rnacentral:precursor_RNA from 10 species